ACNGGACAUGGUUUGCUACACAGCUCAAACCCUCGUCCGCAUUCUCUCUCACGGAGGCUACCGGAAGAUCCUCGGGCAGGAAGGAGACGCCAACUACCUCGCCACGGAAAUGUCCACCUGGGAAGGCGUGAUCGUGACCCCGUCGGAGAAGGCUUACGAGAAGCCGCCGGAAAAGAAGGAAGGGGAAGAGGAGGAAGAUAAUCAGGAAGAGCCGGUUGCUGGGGAGGAGGAAGAAAACAUGGAAACUCAAGAGUGAUUCGGGGGUGGGGGACCCUCAGGGGGAUUCCGCCUUGUCCGAAACGCGAUGGGAUGAGCCAGUGACGGGAUCGAGUCCUCCCUCCUUUCUGUCCCACUUCUUCAAUGUCUUUGUUUUUUUAUAACUCGUUACCAUUAAAAUGGGGGUGUCCCUUAUAAAAAUGUGGUGUUUUGUACAAAAGCUUUUGUGAUUCUUCAUUGCUGUCGAACUCCGCAUUGUCACCGAUGAAAAAAUAAUAAUAAUAAUAGACAUUUCCUCCCCAAGAUCCCCUUCCAAUCCUUUUAAACAGUCCUCACUCCAAGUGGGGUAGAAAAAAAAAUAUCCUGUGCUAAAUUUCCUGUGGUUUCAGUUAUUUUUCUGAAUUUUUCGAGUCAGCCCUCGAUGCUCCCUGCAAUCUGAAGCUGGGACAUUUAUUAUUUGGGGGGGGGGGGAUUGCAUGGCCUCCUGUGCUUUUCCAAUGGAUUCACGGCCCAAAAGCCAGCUGCAAAUGUAUUUCACUGCACAUUUUUACUUAACAAAGUUGGAAAGAACACUAAAUCCUGGUUUGACCGUUAAUUGCUGCUUGGUUGAAAAAAAAGCUCAGUCACGCUCUUCCUGGAUAUUUGUCAUUCUUACAGCCCUAAUUUUUUUAUUUUAUUUUUCCCUUUCAAAAUCAGCCUGCAGGAGACAAAAGAGUUCAUUUUUGCUGAAACUUUUUAUUUUUAUUUUAUUUUUCCCAGGAAAAAAAAAAGUGGGAGAAUCAAGGUCCAAACUUUCAGGUUAUUGUUUAUUAUUCUUCCGCUCCUAUUAAGGGAGUCAUCCUUCCAUUCUCUAUUUCUAAACACACUUGGCGACUCAAAAUAUUUCCAUUUUCAAAUACACUGCGACUCAAAAUA